rnacentral:rRNA from 2 species
UCAGAGCGAACGCUGGCGGCAGGCUUAACACAUGCAAGUCGAGCGCCCCGCAAGGGGAGCGGCAGACGGGUGAGUAACGCGUGGGAACGUACCUUUUGGUUCGGAACAACACAGGGAAACUUGUGCUAAUACCGGAUAAGCCCUUACGGGGAAAGAUUUAUCGCCGAAAGAUCGGCCCGCGUCUGAUUAGCUUGUUGGUGAGGUAACGGCUCACCAAGGCGACGAUCAGUAGCUGGUCUGAGAGGAUGAUCAGCCACAUUGGGACUGAGACACGGCCCAAACUCCUACGGGAGGCAGCAGUGGGGAAUAUUGGACAAUGGGCGCAAGCCUGAUCCAGCCAUGCCGCGUGAGUGAUGAAGGCCCUAGGGUUGUAAAGCUCUUUUAACGGGGAAGAUAAUGACGGUACCCGUAGAAUAAGCCCCGGCUAACUUCGUGCCAGCAGCCGCGGUAAUACGAAGGGGGCUAGCGUUGCUCGGAAUCACUGGGCGUAAAGGGUGCGUAGGUGGAUCUUUAAGUCAGGGGUGAAAUCCUGGAGCUCAACUCCAGAACUGCCUUUGAUACUGAGGAUCUUGAGUUCGGGAGAGGUAAGUGGAACUGCGAGUGUAGAGGUGAAAUUCGUAGAUAUUCGCAAGAACACCAGUGGCGAAGGCGGCUUACUGGCCCGAUACUGACACUGAGGCACGAAAGCG